rnacentral:rRNA from 1 species
CAGUGGCGAAGGCGGCUCUCUGGUCUGUAACUGACGCUGAGGCUCGAAAGCGUGGGGAGCGAACAGGAUUAGAUACCCUGGUAGUCCACGCCGUAAACGAUGAGUGCUAAGUGUUGGAGGGUUUCCGCCCUUCAGUGCUGCAGCAAACGCAUUAAGCACUCCGCCUGGGGAGUACGACCGCAAGGUUGAAACUCAAAGGAAUUGACGGGGGCCCGCACAAGCGGUGGAGCAUGUGGUUUAAUUCGAAGCAACGCGAAGAACCUUACCGGGUCUUGACAUCCUUUGACCACUCUAGAGAUAGAGCUUCCCCUUCGGGGGCAAAGUGACAGGUGGUGCAUGGUUGUCGUCAGCUCGUGUCGUGAGAUGUUGGGUUAAGUCCCGCAACGAGCGCAACCCUUAUUGUUAGUUGCCAUCAUUUAGUUGGGCACUCUAGCGAGACUGCCGGUGACAAACCGGAGGAAGGUGGGGAUGACGUCAAAUCAUCAUGCCCCUUAUGACCUGGGCUACACACGUGCUACAAUGGGAAGUACAACGAGUUGCGAAGUCGCGAGGCUAAGCUAAUCUCUUAAAGCUUCUCUCAGUUCGGAUUGUAGGCUGCAACUCGCCUACAUGAAGCCGGAAUCGCUAGUAAUCGCGGAUCAGCACGCCGCGGUGAAUACGUUCCCGGGCCUUGUACACAC